ACAGGGAUUGCCCUAGUAACGGCGAGUGAAGCGGCAACAGCUCAAAUUUGAAAUCUGGAUUCCUUGACUGGGUCCCGAGUUGUAAUUUGCAGAGGGUGCUUUGGCGUGGGCGGCGGUCUAAGUUCCUUGGAACAGGACGUCACAGAGGGUGAGAAUCCCGUACGUGGCUGCACUGCCCGCGCCGUGUAAAGCCCCUUCGACGAGUCGAGUUGUUUGGGAAUGCAGCUCUAAAUGGGAGGUAAAUUUCUUCUAAAGCUAAAUACUGGCCAGAGACCGAUAGCGCACAAGUAGAGUGAUCGAAAGAUGAAAAGCACUUUGGAAAGAGAGUCAAACAGCACGUGAAAUUGUUGAAAGGGAAGCGCUUGCAGCCAGACUUGCCUGCGGUUGCUCAGCCGGGCCUCGUGCCCGGUGCACUCUUCCGCGGGCAGGCCAGCAUCAAUUUGGGCGGCUGGAGAAUGGCCUCUGUCACGUACUACCCUUCGGGGUAGCCUUAUAGGGGAGUCGUCAUGCAGUCAGCCUGGAUUGAGGACCGCGCUUCGGCGAGGAUGCUGGCGUAAUGGCCGCAAGCGGCCCGUCUUGAAACACGGACCAAGGAGUCUAACAUCUAUGCGAGUGUUUGGGUGUCAAGCCCGGGCGCGCAAUGAAAGUGAACGGAGGUGGGAACCCCCUUGGGGCGCACCAUCGACCGAUCCUGAUGUCUUCGGAUGGAUUUGAGUAAGAGCAUAGCUGUUGGGACCCGAAAGAUGGUGAACUAUGCUUGAAUAGGGUGAAGCCAGAGGAAACUCUGGUGGAAGCUCGCAGCGGUUCUGACGUGCAAAUCGAUCGUCAAAUUUGGGCAUAGGGGCGAAAGACUAAUCGAACUAUCUAGUAGCUGGUUCCUGCCGAAGUUUCCCUCAGGAUAGCAGUAACGUAUUCAGUUUUAUGAGGUAAAGCGAAUGAUUAGAGGCCUGGGGGUUGAAACAACCUUCACCUAUUCUCAAACUUUAAA
rnacentral:rRNA from 1 species